rnacentral:rRNA from 1 species
GUACCCUACGGGGCGCAGCAGUGGGGAAUAUUGCACAAUGGGGGAAACCCUGAUGCAGCAACGCCGCGUGAAGGAAGACGGUUUUCGGAUUGUAAACUUCUGUUCUUAGUGAAGAAAAAUGACGGUAGCUAAGGAGCAAGCCACGGCUAACUACGUGCCAGCAGCCGCGGUAAUACGUAGGUGGGAAGCGUUGUCCGGAAUUACUGGGUGUAAAGGGAGCGCAGGCGGGAAGCCAAGUCAGCUGUGAAAACUACGGGCUUAACUUGUAGAAUGCAGUUGAAACUGUGUGUCUUGAGUGAAGUAGG